rnacentral:rRNA from 1 species
GUACGGGAGGCAGCAGUGGGGAAUCUUGGACAAUGGGCGCAAGCCUGAUCCAGCAAUGCCGCGUGCGUGAAGAAGGCCUUCGGGUUGUAAAGCGCUUUUGUUCGGGAGGAAAUCCUAGUGGCUAAUAUCCAUUGGGGAUGACAGUACCGGAAGAAUAAGGACCGGCUAACUACGUGCCAGCAGCCGCGGUAAUACGUAGGGUCCAAGCGUUAAUCGGAAUUACUGGGCGUAAAGGGUGCGCAGGUGGUUGAUUAAGUGUGAUGUGAAAGCCCCGGGCUCAACCUGGGAAUUGCAUUGCAAACUGGUCAACUAGAGUAUGGCAGAGGGGGGUGGAAUUCCGCGUGUAGCAGUGAAAUGCGUAGAGAUGCGGAGGAACACCGAUGGCGAAGGCAACCCCCUGGGCUAAUACUGACACUCAUGCACGAAAGCGUGGGGAGCAAACAGGAUUAGAUACCCUGGU